GACGAACGCUGGCGGCGUGCUUAACACAUGCAAGUCGAACGGAAAGGCCCCCUUGUGGGGUACUCGAGUGGCGAACGGGUGAGUAACACGUGAGUAACCUACCCUUGACUUUGGGAUAACUUCAGGAAACUGGGGCUAAUACCGGAUAGGAGCUCCUGCUGCAUGGUGGGGGUUGGAAAGUUUCGGCGGUUGGGGAUGGACUCGCGGCUUAUCAGCUUGUUGGUGGGGUAGUGGCUCACCAAGGCUUUGACGGGUAGCCGGCCUGAGAGGGUGACCGGCCACAUUGGGACUGAGAUACGGCCCAGACUCCUACGGGAGGCAGCAGUGGGGAAUAUUGCACAAUGGGCGGAAGCCUGAUGCAGCAACGCCGCGUGCGGGAUGACGGCCUUCAGGUUGUAAACCGCUUUCGCCUGUGACGAAGCGUGAGUGACGGUAAUGGGUAAAGAAGCACCGGCUAACUACGUG
rnacentral:rRNA from 1 species